rnacentral:tRNA from 2 species
GCCGGAGUGGCGGAAUUGGUAGACGCGUCGGAUUCAAAAUCCGAUAUCCGCGAGGAUGUGCGGGUUCGAGUCCCGCCUCCGGUA